rnacentral:rRNA from 1 species
AGUGAACGCUGGCGGUAGGCCUAACACAUGCAAGUCGAACGGCAGCACAGUAAGAGCUUGCUCUUACGGGUGGCGAGUGGCGGAAGGGUGAGGAAUACAUCGGAAUCUACUUAUUCGUGGGGGAUAACGUAGGGCAGCGUACGCUAAUACAGCAUACGACCUACGGGUGAAAGCAGGGGAUCUUCGGACCUUGCGCGCGUGUAUGAGCCGAUGUCGGAUUAGCUAGUUGGCGGGGUAAAGGCCCACCAAGGCGACGAUCCGUAGCUGGUCUGAGAGGAUGAUCAGCCACACUGGAACUGAGACACGGUCCAGACUCCUACGGGAGGCAGCAGUGGGGAAUAUUGGACGAUGGGCGCAAGCCUGAUCCAGCCAUACCGCGUGGGGGAAGAAGGCCUUCGGGUUGUAAAGCCCCGUUGUUGGGAAAGAAAAGCAGCUGUUUAAUACCCCGCUGUUCUGACGGUACCCAAAGAAUAAGCACCGGCUAACUUCGUG